CCCUCAUCUCCCCCAUAAAAUCCCACAAUGACCCCAGAAAUGACCCAAAAUUGUACUUUUUCACCCCAAAACUUACCUCAGGUUCACCCCAAUACCUCCAAAGCCCCCCAGAUUGACCCAAAACCCCAAAGUCUCACCCCAAAAUUUCCCUAAAGCCCCUCAUCUCCCCCCAAAAAACCCCAAAAUGACCCCAAAAAUGACCCAAAAUUGUGCUUUUUCACCCCAAAACUUACCUCAGGUUCGCCAAGCUGCUGCUGCGUCUGCCGGCGCUGCGCUCCAUCGGCCUCAAAUGCUUGGAGCACCUCUUCUUCUUCAAGCUCAUUGGGACACCGCCC
ensembl:lncRNA